rnacentral:rRNA from 1 species
UACGGGGGGAGCAAGCGUUGUUCGGAUUUACUGGGCGUAAAGGGCGCGUAGGCGGCCACCGCAAGUCGACUGUGAAAUCUCCGGGCUUAACCCGGAACUGCCGUUGAUACUAUAUAUCUUGAAUGCUGUGGAGGUAAGCAGAAUAUGUCAUGUAGCGGUGAAAUGCUUAGAGAUGACAUAGAAUACCUAUUGCGAAGGCAGCUACUACGCAGAUAUUGAUCGCU